rnacentral:rRNA from 1 species
GCAGUGUACCCGCGGCAAGACGGAAAGACCCCGUGAACCUUUACUAUAGCUUGACACUGAACACUGGUCCUUGAUGUGUAGGAUAGGUGGGAGGCUUUGAAGCGUGGACGCCAGUCUGCGUGGAGCCAUCCUUGAAAUACCACCCUUUAAUGGCUGGUGUUCUAACGUAGACCCGUAAUCCGGGUUGCGGACAGUGUCUGGUGGGUAGUUUGACUGGGGCGGUCUCCUCCCAAAGAGUAACGGAGGAGCACGAAG